rnacentral:rRNA from 1 species
AGCGAACGUUAGCGGCGGGCCUAACACAUGCAAGUCGAACGCGAAAGGUCUUCGGACUGAUUAGAGUGGCGCACGGGUGAGUAACACGUAGGUAAUCUACCCUUUGGCGGGGGAUAACGUUCCGAAAGGAGCGCUAAUACCGCAUAAGACCACGGAGUCUCCGGACGCUGUGGGAAAAGGUGGCCUCUUCUUGAAAGCUAUCACCGGAGGAUGAGCCUGCGUCCCAUCAGCUAGUUGGUAAGGUAAUGGCUUACCAAGGCAAAGACGGGUAGCUGGUUUGAGAGAAUGAUCAGCCACACUGGCACUGGAACACGGGCCAGACUCCUACGGGAGGCAGCAGUGAGGAAUAUUGGGCAAUGGGCGAAAGCCUGACCCAGCCACGCCGCGUGAGUGAUGAAGGCCCUCGGGUCGUAAAGCUCUGUGGAGAGGGACGAAAAACCUGGGGUCUAAUAGGCCCCGGACUUGACGGUACCUCUUUAGCAAGCACCGGCUAACUCUGUGCCAGCAGCCGC